rnacentral:rRNA from 1 species
GUUAACGCUGGCGGCGUGCCUAACACAUGCAAGUCGAGCGAAGCGUACCAGAAUAUCGGGCGCUUAGCGGCAGACGGGUGAGUAACACGUAAACAAUCUGCCCUCGAAUGGGAGACAACCUGGCGAAAGUCGGGCUAAUACCCCAUACAAUCCUCUCUUAGCAUUUUGAGGGGAUGAAAGGCCCGCAAGGGUCGUUCGAGGAGGAGUUUGCGGCCUAUCAGCUAGUUGGCGGUGUAACGGACCACCAAGGCAAUGACGGGUAGCCGAUCUAAAAGGAUGACCGGCCACAAGGGCACUGAGACACGGGCCCUACUCCUACGGGAGGCAGCAGUGGGGAAUUUUGGACAAUGGACGAAAGUCUGAUCCAGCGACGCCGCGUGGAGGACGAAGGUUUUCGGAUCGUAAACUCCUUUUGCAGGGGACGAAAGCUAGCAAUAGUUUGACGGUACUCUGCGAAUAAGCCACGGCUAACUACGU